rnacentral:rRNA from 1 species
UGGGGAAUAUUGGACAAUGGGCGCAAGCCUGAUCCAGCCAUGCCGCGUGAGUGAUGAAGGCCCUAGGGUUGUAAAGCUCUUUCACCGGUGAAGAUAAUGACGGUAACCGGAGAAGAAGCCCCGGCUAACUUCGUGCCAGCAGCCGCGGUAAUACGAAGGGGGCUAGCGUUGUUCGGAUUUACUGGGCGUAAAGCGCACGUAGGCGGACUUUUAAGUCAGGGGUGAAAUCCCGGGGCUCAACCCCGGAACUGCCUUUGAUACUGGAAGUCUUGAGUAUGGUAGAGGUGAGUGGAAUUCCGAGUGUAGAGGUGAAAUUCGUAGAUAUUCGGAGGAACACCAGUGGCGAAGGCGGCUCACUGGACCAUUACUGACGCUGAGGUGCGAAAAGCGUGGGGAGCAAAACAGGAUUAGAUACCCCUGGUAGUCCACGCCGUAAACGAUGAAUGUUUAGCCGUUGGGGAGUUUUACUCUUCGGUGGCGCAGCUAACNCAUUAAACAUUCCGCCUGGGGAGUACGUCGCAAGA